rnacentral:rRNA from 1 species
AUUGAACGCUGGCGGCAUGCCUUACACAUGCAAGUCGAACGGUAACAGGUCUUCGGAUGCUGACGAGUGGCGAACGGGUGAGUAAUACAUCGGAACGUGCCUAGUAGUGGGGGAUAACUACUCGAAAGAGUGGCUAAUACCGCAUGAGAUCUACGGAUGAAAGCAGGGGAUCGCAAGACCUUGUGCUACCAGAGCGGCCGAUGGCAGAUUAGGUAGUUGGUGGGAUAAAAGCUUACCAAGCCGACGAUCUGUAGCUGGUCUGAGAGGACGAUCAGCCACACUGGGACUGAGACACGGCCCAGACUCCUACGGGAGGCAGCAGUGGGGAAUUUUGGACAAUGGGCGCAAGCCUGAUCCAGCAAUGCCGCGUGCAGGAUGAAGGCCUUCGGGUUGUAAACUGCUUUAGUACGGAACGAAAAGCCCCGGGUUAAUACCCUGGGGUCAUGACGGUACCGUAAGAAUAAGCACCGGCUAACUACGUGCCAGCAGCCGCCGUAA